UAGAGAGUGAUUAUGCUGCUUCUUGAUGGUGAAUGUGGUUAUACUCAUGGCAGGUAUUAUUUGAUAUUUUGGUCAUUUGUUACACUAAUUUGGCAACUGACAAAUAUCAUCUGGGAAACGGUUUGGAAUUUGCAGUUAGUAAAUAACUGUUUGUGUUCUAUUUGGGACGAUACUACAUUCAUAUUCUAUGCUGUUGAGUGUAAGUGCAUAAGUACAUAGUGUAUAAGUUCAUUGUGUAUAGUGUGCCAUUUUGGACCCAGCUUUUGGAGUGGAGCAGAAGAAGAAAACUCACAAGGGAAAGGUGGAGAUAUACUUGAGGACCUGGAGCUCAGGAAGCAGAUUGGAAGGGACCACAUGGAGAAAAAAUGGAAUCACACACCUCAGCAAUGACUGAAUGCUCAGGAGUUAAAUUUUUACAAAAAUCAGAUGGACAGGUUUUUCUUUUACAGGUAAGGGAGAGAGCAGGCAGAAGAAGGAGACUCACAUGAGCAUCGGUGGACAUUUAUCUUAAAAAAAUG